AAGUCGUAACAAGGUUUCCGUAGGUGAACCUGCGGAAGGAUCAUUAACACGUUCUAAACGUAUCAACCAAACCGCGAACUCUGACGUUAGUGCUCUCUCUCGGCUUCGCUGAGAGACGAGUACGCCUGAGCAUGUUAGGGGAAAGUGCUGUGGUUGGUAGCUUUCGGGCUUCCUCUACAGAUUACUUCCUUUAGCACGUUCAUAUUAACCCAAACCUCCUUUGUUGUUCAUUUCUUAUGUCUUAAAGGACGUGGCGUUCAACGCUAUUGUCUUUUAUUACAAACUUGUACAACUCUUAGCAACGGAUGUCUUGGUUUCC
rnacentral:misc_RNA from 1 species